GCUGGGCGUGGUGGCACGUGCCUGUAAUCCCAGCUACUCGGGAGGCUGAGGCAGGAGAAUUGCUUGAACCUGGGAAGCAGAGGUUGCAGUGAGCCGAGAUCACGCCACUGCACUCCAGCCUGGUGAUGGAGUGAGACUCUGUCUCAAAAAAAAAAAGUGUGGUAAAAUGCAUGUAACAUACAGUUGACCUUGAUCAUUUUUUUUUUGAGAUGGAGUUUUGCUCUUGUUGCCCAGGCUGGAGUGCAAUGGUGCAAUCUCGGCUCACUGCAACCUCCACCUCCCAGGUUCAAGCAAUUCUCCUGCCUCAG
rnacentral:SRP_RNA from 1 species